rnacentral:rRNA from 1 species
CCUACGGGCGGCAGCAGUGAGGAAUAUUGGUCAAUGGACGGAAGUCUGAACCAGCCAUGCCGCGUGCAGGAAGACGGCUCUAUGAGUUGUAAACUGCUUUUGUACAAGGGUAAACCUGAAUACGUGUAUUCAGCUGAAAGUACUGUACGAAUAAGGAUCGGCUAACUCCGUGCCAGCAGCCGCGGUAAUACGGAGGAUCCAAGCGUUAUCCGGAUUUAUUGGGUUGAAAGGGUGCGUAGGCGGAUUGAUAAGUUAGAGGUGAAAUGUCCGAGCUUAACUCGGGAACUGCCUCUAAUACUGUUGAUCUAGAGAGUAGAUGCGGUAGGCGGAAUGUAUGGUGUAGCGGGGAAAUGCUUAGAGAUCAUACAGAACACCGAUUGCGAAGGCAGCUUACCAAUCUAUAUCUGACGUUGAGGCACGAAAGCGUGGGGAGCAAACAGGAUUAGAUACCCCGGUAGUC